AUGUUACGACUUUUCCUUAGGUCAAGUUUCUUGAAAAAAUAAUGUGAAAUUGAGGUUGGCUCACAAUAAAUUAUUGAGGAGUGAACUGAGACAAUGCCCAUAAGGAAAGGAGUCAAGCAGGACCUCACAGAGCAAGAGGCUGAAUCACGCAUUUUUGGAAGGUAUUAUUGGCAUAAUACUCGCUGAUGGCUUACAUAGCAUUCAGAUACCAGCUUCUCAAUCUCUGAAGUUGACAGCACGCUUGGAAGUGUGAUAAGGAAAGAGAAGUGUCUAAAACGUUGUCAACAGAGUGGGGUGUAAUAUAGGAGUGCAGAGGAGGG
rnacentral:lncRNA from 1 species